UGGAGGAAGAACCUUGAGGGUCAUGAACAUGAGGACUGUGAAGAAGGAUCCUGGGCAGAGAGAAUCGCUGCUGUGAGGCAACAGGAAAUUCCCCAUAAAUUUUAGAGGACUUGAAUAAGUAAGACACAGACAAGUGCUGUGGAUAGUGGAUGUAUGGGAUCAUUUCCUUGUUCCCCUGACGCUUGACUGCCAGGCAAUGGGUGGACCUGGGUGGACCUUGGCAUACUGCUGGAGACUCUGCUGUGUCUGGGGGAGCUGGGACUGUUGGCAUGUGCUGGAAGCCGUGGAUCCAUCCUUGGAGGCUGGAGAGGAUUCGCAUCCCCACGGCUCACAGCGUGACUCAAGUCUGCAGGCACAGCAGGUAAAGCGCUCUGGGCUCUCAUUCUCUGCUGUUUUGUUCCUGCUAAAAAAUCAGCCCAAUGUGUGUGUUGGAAAAGAAGAACAUCAGCGUGAAGGAAGAGCGAGUAGACUGUGCUGGAGCUGGCCCAUACUUACUUUGAAGAAAACAACCUCUUGUGCAAUUCCUUACCUUCAGCAGCAGGUGCUGACUCACGAAGCCAGAGGAGGGCACAGUUCAGGGGUCUGGCAGAAUUCCUUCUGGUGGGCUUCAGGCAUCAAAGAACUGGAAAUAGCUGUUUAUUUAUGUGGAUGAACAGGAUGCAGCAAAUUUACCUUUUCCCUGGGGUUUGACGUUGAGUAUCUUUAGUGUCCUGAAGGUCACAAGUGUUUCUCCAGCCCCACGGGUGCAGUAACCAACAAGAAGAACAAUCCACGCAGGAUUUUCUUUCCAUUACGCAGAAAUACUCAUUAAUGACUAUGAUUCAUUGCGAAGAUAAUACAAACUGAUUGGGGAAAAAAGAUAAAUUUACAACGUGCAAUUGUUUUGAAUAAUGGAAAUUCAUUUUUCUGAAGAGUUGGCACAUUCAUUAGGAAACCCUUUGAUGUUUCUUGGAGGAAAAAAUCAGUGCUGGUUAUUUUGAAAGUAAAUACUUGAGGCUGGCAUGCAGUCUUGACUAUUCUGAGAGCCAGUGAAGAAAGAAACAAAACUAUCUACAGUAAGAAACAAGCAAGCAAGAGGAAUGCAUAAGGAAAGGCGAAGGCAGUCAGUUGUGUGGAUUCCAGGACCUGAGGGCUUCAGCUUUUGGUUUGAACAAGAGCAGCCAUCUGACAUUCUGUAGCUCUCCAGAAAAUGUCAUGACAGUAGCUGUGCAUAGUUGAAGAUGUACAUCUGUGGGGCUUUCAAGCCCAGUUAGAAGCAUCUUUCUACCAAGAGUCCAGAGCUGCUAUUGGUGAAGGAUGCAAGUAUCUCAUGAAAAAAAUAAAUCACAGAUAGUGUUCCUCUUCCAUAAUAAGCUGAUCAUUGUGUUAGUGCUCAGAACUAUGAGCAUUUAUUUCACUUUAUUAUUGCAACAGAACACCAAAUUAAGAUUUUUGGAUAAAUUAUUUAUUUAUAUGUAAUGACGAGUAAUCCCAGACUGAAAUGUAUUUGAGAAGACAUUUAUUUUAUGAGCAUUCAGAAAGAGAAUGUGCUUCGCUGAAAUGUUGAAUCAGAAUGCAGGGCCUGAUUAGAUGUGCCUGCCACAUCACCUAAGCAUGACCUUGGAGAACUUGGGGAAUUUGGAGAGUUGUAAUGCUACUGACUUUAUACCUGGCAAAUGUGGCUUGAUGGCUCUGGUGACAAGUAACCUGCACAAAUGCUCCUUGCUCUACUGGUUCUGUCCUUGUUGAAAGAGUAAAGAUGGGUGAAGAGGGAAAAAGAAGAGAUUUAGCAGUGUGAAGUAUCAGCUACACAUGAGCAUAGAAAUAAAUCUGUGGAAAGCUCUGGAGAACACACAGCAUAUGCAGAGUUUUAUGAAAGCUUCAGUAAUUUGAAACGACACCAUGAAAGAAUCCAGAGUCCAGCUCUCAGCAGGAAGAUCAGCUGCAGAUGAACAGCAUCAGAGAAGCAGGAUUUGGAGCUACAGUAGGAGAAGAAAUCAUCACAGGGAGCUAAGCAACUUUUGACUUGUGAAAAUGGGUGGACUUGGUCUCUAUUCACUGGGAGCUAUGAAUGAGGAGAAUCAAAUAGAGGCAUCAAAGAUUUUCUUUGAGAAAGUAUGAAGGAUUUAUGAAGUCCUAGAUCCUGGAAAGGGGUAAAUGCAGGCCUUAUCUUUAAAAAGAGAGAAGAGGAAGAUCAGAGGAAUUACAGGUCAGCAGGCUUUCCCAGAAAUAAAUACUGAAGAAACAAAUCAUUUGUAAAGGAAAAAAAAACCAAACACAGCACAGAACAAAAUGAACCCAAGGAAGUGUGAAAAACAAAGAUCUGUCAAAAACAAAUUAUCCGAGUUUCAAACCUGCUUUUUUUCUCUAUGAAAGAAUAGAAUGGCUACAGUAGAACUUGCCAGCGUGGUAUAUUUUGAGCUUUGUAAGCAUAACACGGUGGAUUCCGAAGUAGGCUGGGAAAGGUGUGUCUGUAAUUAAACUGCCCUAAGGUUGAUGCAGGGCUGUCUGGAAGGCCUCCUUCACAGAGAGCUUAUUAAGGACUCACUGCCAAACUCUCAAGCAUCAACCUGUGUGCUCUAGGUGCUGCAGUUAACUUCUCCAUCAAUAGCUUGGAUGAUGAAGCAAAGGUUAUGCUCAGUGAAUAUGCAGACCAUAUCAUCCUAGGCAGAUUCAGGCGCAUUGGGAAAAUAGGGAAAGUUUUUCCAAUAAUUUGUAAUUUAGGGAAAUGGCCUGAAGUACAGAGUGGAGUUGAUUUAGGGAUAAAUUUAGCACAAUGCUGACCAACAAUAUGAUAGUACAAGGAUAGCCAGCUGUGCCAGUUCAGAAUACACGCUGGGUGAUGGAUCUGCAGGGAGAGGUCUGGGCUGUUACUGGGUAUCACUAGCACAAGAAACCAGUGCCAAGCUGUUGUGCAAGACACAAGCACUCACUGGGCAUGCAAGAUCAGGCAAUGGUCUCUUCUCCCUGGUGACCAGAGACAGGACCCAGGGGAAUGGCUGGAUCUGUGUCAGGGAAGAUUUAGGGAAGAUAUUAGGAAAAGGUUCUUUCCCCAGAGGGUGAUGGGGCGCUGGACAGACUCCCCAGGGAAUGGUCACGACUCCAGGGCUGACAGAGCCCAAGGAGCACUUGGACAACGCUCUCAGGCACCAGGUGGGAUUGUUGAGGUAUCUGUGCAAAGCCGGGAAUUGGACUGGAUGAUACCUGUGGGUCUAUUCCAACUCAGAAUAUUCUAUAAGAAGAAACAAGACCUGCAGGGUAAGUGAAGGUGCUCUGGUGAAAUUUGAUGUCCAUUUCCAACACUAGGCUUCACUGAAGAAAAUACUGGAAACCUGCAGUGAAAGUGUAAUUGCAAGUUUAAGGCAACGAGAAUGCCCACUAGUGAAGAUUUAAUGAACUGCUGUUAUUUCAUCUAAAGAGGAAAGAAGACACAGGUGCUACAGGAUAAUUGCCUUUAAACUGAGAAGAGACUGCUGCAAAGAUUUGGGUUCUUUUCCCUUGAAGAAGAUGACAUGUUUUAAAGAAGAUUGUGUUUUUUAAGGCAGCUGCAACCAGUCAAUCACGUUCGACUCCUACAGCAC